GGAAGUUAAGUGAGAAACUCCGCAGCUUGAACUGAUUUGGGGGAGAGAGAGAGAGAGAGAGAAAGGAAAAGGGGUAGGGGGAGGGAGAGAGGCAAGCAAAAUAGCCGAACAGAGCCAAUGGUUUUCCUGCAAAGUGCCGGGAAGUUUGCGGAACACUUUCUAGGAAUCAGGUCCUCUCUCAGAGCCUCUCCUUGUCCUCGGAAGAAAGAGCUGGCCUUUGGAUUGCCAUGGAUCCUAAAGAGGGGCUUAGACACACGUGAAUAAUUCCCCUGCUCGGGCUGGAUUGGGGGGAGUUUAGGAAGGAGCGUGUGUGCAAAGCAGAAGCCUUCGGAGCUCGCUCCCUGCUCUAAUCUGUAUGGAUCUAAAAGUGGCACACUCAAGACCUUCCCAUCUGCAGCUUUUCGCUUCCAGGCUUCCCUUUCCGCUCUAAGUAGCUGCUAGGAAACUGAAAACUUUUGGACCCUGCGUCUCGCUGGCUUUGGAUACUUUUUUUUUCCUUUUUUUUUUUUUUUUUUUUAAUUCUUUUCUUUGGAUCUCUGUGGAAUUGGUCUCGCAAACGAUCGGGAUUGCUUUUAAUAUGUCAAAAUGGGUCUGCUGACGCCACUCCUGCUCGUUGGAUUUGCAUUUUUUCAAGUCUAUGGACCCAAUUCUGCAGAGCAUUUAGGUGCGUGCCGCUGUUGCUUACACAGAACCUCAGUGAAGUUGAUGGGAAUUUAAACAUGUGUUCCAAGUUAAUCAUAUGCUUGAAAACUUUGCUGAGUAGGGAGGAAUUUAUGCCCAUGAUGAAAAGUUCUGCUGAAUUAGUCUUAAUGUUGUGCUUGCCUUACUUCCUUUCUCCUAGGUUGUAAUUGCAACAGCAUAUAUUUAUGUGCAAAAGAUAGGCAAAGAGAAAAUGCUGUCAUAGCACUUCCAGAGAUGGAUACGUUUGAAAAGUAAUUUGAUAGUCCAAGUAAUUUGUUUUGUUCAUUUGCUAAUUUGCUACACUGCAAAAGGUCUGAUAUCCCACAGUUCUUUUAGAAAAGACAGAAUAUCUUUUGUUGUUGUUGUUGUUUGUUGUUUUUUUUUUUUUUAAAUAAAAAUAAAACUUUUCAGUGAAUUCA
rnacentral:lncRNA from 1 species